GAUCUUGAACAAACCAUAUGAUGAUGCAGUCAGCUCAAUGCUCCCACUUCGGCUUUGGGAGCCUUUUGAACCUGACGCCAUGAAUAGUCAUGACUGGGAGGAGCUUGGCAGAUGAGGACAAAUACACACAUCGCAUGGGACCGACGCCUCAGACACCGCCUUGGUACCAGGUUAUUGAAGGAGCAGAACACCCUGCCAUGUACCUUGGCUGAAAACUGCUGGACUGGGAGAUGAGCAACUGUGGUGGCACUUGGUCUGCCUUGGAGUAGAUCUGUCAUCACAAAAGAUGGAUAUAUUCUCUGAUACUUUGCAAUCAGCUGAAAGUCAUCUUUCCCUGCCGGGAGAUACAUUUCAAAACAUGGCUGAAGUAGGAUGUCUUGACUUAAACAAAACAAAACUUCAUAUGAAUGUUUUAUACAUAAGUAGCAUGUAAACUAUGGGCACAACAAAAAGGUAUAGCACAACACAAGGGCAGAAGCAGGUGGUGGCAGUAUUGACAUAAGUUGUCAUGUAAGAAUGAAGGGUACUGCCAGAGGAUGGUUUGCUGGGGGCCCUUCAAGUUCAUCAGUCAGCCUCUGAGAGUGAGAAGUGUGAUCUAGAUUAUAGCAGACUAUAUUCCCCCAGGACACCAAGUUGUGACCCAGCCACAAGAGCGAAAAAGAGCGAAGCUAAGGAGGGAAUUUCAGAAGUGGUCACAUAGUUCCAGACUGAAAGCAAACUGUUGCUAAAUUAGUACAGGUAUUUAAAAAGGUACCUUGGAAACACUUGGUCUAUCAAUACCUGUAUAAAAGUCAGCAGUGCAUUAGUCUAAGGGGCUAACAAAUUGCCAUUUGGCUUUAUGUCCCUGUUGUUUUAUGGAACUUCCCCAUCCCAAAGGUGACUUGAGGGAAUGCCUUGUAAGCAGAUGGUUUGGCAUAUCCUUAAGGACUACUUCUUAAAAGAAAGUAUUGUCAAAGUAACAGAAGGGGAAAGAUGAAUAAUGAUUGGUAAAAAGGUAGAGGUCUGAACCCGGAAGUCAAAAGGAUACAAUGUCUGAAUUCAAAAUGCAAGGGCAAAAUCUGAGAGUCAAGAGGCAACAUAAAAGAUCCUGGCUGCCUUAAAAUGCUUUCCCUAAAUAACUAAAUCUAAACAAAGGUUUUGUGAAAAAAGCUGAUGCCAGAAUUACCAGGACGCUGUCAUAAAUCAUUUUCUCCUCACAUGCAGUAGCAUCAUCAAACACACGACCAGAAAGGAACAUCGCUGCAAACAACAAAAUGUCCAAGAACACAUGGUAAACUCCAAAUGGCACCAUAAAGACAUCACCAAAAUAAUAAUAAUAAUAAUAAUGUACAUAAUUACAUUAAGGUAAGAAUAAUAGGCAAAAAUCAGACCUAAUGACACAAAGCAGAUUUGUAACACCAUGGAGUACAAAUACACCCUUGAGCCACAGCUUAACUGAGGGUAGAGUCGGGGCAAGCCCUCAACUGAAGAGUGUAAGAGAGAGGCCAGAUUAUUGAGAGAUGGAGUUGAGAAAAGAGUUUGGGAAUACGCUAUGGACAAGUGGACAAGCCAACUCAUUGGGUAGAGAUGGUUACAAACCUUUGCAAAUUGAACCUGUGAGACUGAACCACAUUUGCUUUCAUUUGUACUAUGUACUGUUAUGUAUAUAGAUGUACUGAAUAUUUAUUUGUA